UGGGGAGUAUUGCGCAAUGGCCGAAAGGCUGACGCAGCGACGCCGCGUGGGGGAUGAAGCAUUUCGGUGUGUAAACCCCUGUUGCCCGGGACGAACAAGCAGAUUUUUCUGCUCUGACGGUACCGGGUGAGGAAGCACCGGCUAACUCCGUGCCAGCAGCCGCGGUAAUACGGAGGGUGCGAGCGUUGUCCGGAAUCACUGGGCGUAAAGGGCGCGUAGGCGGUCUGCUAAGCGUGCGGUGAAAGCCCGGGGCUCAACCCCGGGUCUGCCGUGCGAACUGGUGGACUAGAGCACUGUAGAGGCAGGUGGAAUUCCGGGUGUAGCGGUGGAAUGCGUAGAGAUCCGGAAGAACACCAGUGGCGAAGGCGGCCUGCUGGGCAGUAGCUGACGCUGAGGCGCGACAGCGUGGGGAGCAAACA
rnacentral:rRNA from 1 species